UAAGGUAACAUAAAUUUACCUUCUCUUGCCUAAAGAGAUACUAUCUAAAAAUGACAGCUGCUCAGAUCUUUUCUUUGCUGCUUCCCCAGACGAACCCGUGCUAGGUUUGCCUCGUCUCUUUAUGUAAUAUUCUCUUACAUAUCCCCAUCUCUUACUGCAGUCAUUAUCUAUAAAUAUAAAAAUAAAAACAAAGAGGCAAGUGUUCUAAAUUACUACAUGUUAUUUUUUUAGGUUUUUGGCUACAGGAGAAUCAUUUCGAUUCUUGGUGUUUCAGUUUAGAAUAUGCCAUUCGUGGAUUAGUGUAAUAAUAAUGCAGGUUGCUGAAUCCAUUGUUGCAAGAAUGCUUACUUUGGUAAUGCCACAACCAACAGAGGAAAUGUUCAAAACCAUCUCUACGAAAUUCAGAUCUCUUUGGGAUUUUCCGAACUGUGUUGGAGCAAUUGAUGGUAAGCAUAUUCGGAUAAAGGCUCCAAAAAAUAGUGGAUCCACUUUCUUCAACUGCAAGGACUUUCAUUCUGUAGUGAUGUUGGCACUUGUAGAUGCAGAUAAUAAUUUUGUUGCAGUAGACAUAGGAUCGUACGGCAGAGAAGGAGAUGCAGGCAUAUAUUUAAAAAGUAGAUUUGGAAAAAAAUUCUGAAAAAAGAAUUUAAUAUUCCACCGCCACAACCAUUGCCUGGCAUGAAUAUGCUGGUGCCCCAUGUUAUUCUCAGCGAUGAGGCAUUUGCUCUUCAUGAGCAUCUCAUGAAACCAUAUCCACGAAAUCAAUCAGUAUCUGAUAAAACUAAUAUAUCAAGCAAUCUAUAAUUACCGACUUUCCCGAGCUCGUAGGACAACUGAAAAUACCUUUGGCAUUCUUUGUGCAUUUUUUCGGAUAUUUUUUCAGCCAAUUGCUACGCGUCCGGAAACCACGGAUAAACUUAUAAUGUGUGCCUGUAUUUUAUAUAAUCUUCUGCGUGAAACAAAUAUUCUUCCGACAGUGACUAAUAGGACAGAGAAAUACUCACUUCCUACAGAAAAUUUACUUCCACUAAUUCACAACAACGUACGCGGGGCAAAUAUACCAGUUCAAAUUCGUGAGACAUUUAAAACGUAUUUUAAUGGACCCGGUGCUGUAGCAUGGCAGGAACAGCAUUACCGAGAAAACUAAAUCAAUCACAACAAUGUAAUAUAUUAAAAAUAUAUAUAUAUUUUUUAUGGUAA